GACGAACGCUGGCGGCGUGCUUAACACAUGCAAGUCGAACGGGUCUGCCCUGUUUUUUGCGGGGUGGGUCAGUGGCGAACGGGUGAGUAACACGUGAGUAACCUGCCCCUCACUUCUGGAUAACCGCUUGAAAGGGUGGCUAAUACGGGGUGUUCUGGCUGUGCCGCAUGGUGUGGCUGGGAAAGAUUCACUUUUGUGGUGUUUUGGUGGGGGAUGGGCUCGCGGCCUAUCAGCUUGUUGGUGGGGUGAUGGCCUGCCAAGGCUUUGACGGGUAGCCGGCCUGAGAGGGUGGGCGGUCACACUGGGACUGAGGUACGGCCCAGACUACUGCGGGAGGCAGCAGUGGGGGGUAUUGCACAAUGGGCGGAAGCCUGAUGCAGCGACGUCGAGUGAGGGAUGGAGGCCUUCGGGUUGUGAACCUCUUUCGCCGGUGAAGAAGGUCCUGCUCUUUGUGGUGGGGUUGACGGUAGCCGGGUUAUGAAGCGCCGGCUAACUACGUG
rnacentral:rRNA from 1 species